rnacentral:rRNA from 4 species
GGGUUGUGAGGUUAAGCGACUAAGCGUACACGGUGGAUGCCCUGGCAGUCAGAGGCGAUGAAGGACGUGCUAAUCUGCGAUAAGCGCCGGUAAGGUGAUAUGAACCGUUAUAACCGGCGAUUUCCGAAUGGGGAAACCCAGUGUGACUCGUCACACUAUCAUUAACUGAAUCCAUAGGUUAAUGAGGCGAACCGGGGGAACUGAAACAUCUAAGUACCCCGAGGAAAAGAAAUCAACCGAGAUUCCCCCAGUAGCGGCGAGCGAACGGGGAGGAGCCCAGAGCCUGAAUCAGCAUGUGUGUUAGUGGAAGCGUCUGGAAAGGCGCGCGAUACAGGGUGACAGCCCCGUACACAAAAGCGCAUAUGCUGUGAGCUCGAUGAGUAGGGCGGGACACGUGGUAUCCUGUCUGAAUAUGGGGGGACCAUCCUCCAAGGCUAAAUACUCCUGACUGACCGAUAGUGAACCAGUACCGUGAGGGAAAGGCGAAAAGAACCCCGGCGAGGGGAGUGAAAAAGAACCUGAAACCGUGUACGUACAAGCAGUGGGAGCCCCACCACUAAGCCAGUGGUGAACUCCACAUACGCAUCCUUUGCUGAGGAUACGGUUAACGGAGCGAAAGCGACGUUCAACCGCAAAAGAAGCAGAGGGGGCUUAGUGGUGGGGUGACUGCGUACCUUUUGUAUAAUGGGUCAGCGACUUAUAUUCUGUAGCAAGGUUAACCGAAUAGGGGAGCCGGAGGGAAACCGAGUCUUAAUUGGGCGUUAAGUUGCAGGGUAUAGACCCGAAACCCGGUGAUCUAGCCAUGGGCAGGUUGAAGGUUGGGUAACACUAACUGGAGGACCGAACCGACUAAUGUUGAAAAAUUAGCGGAUGACCUGUGGCUGGGGGUGAAAGGCCAAUCAAACCGGGAGAUAGCUGGUUCUCCCCGAAAGCUAUUUAGGUAGCGCCUCGUGAAUUCAUCUCCGGGGGUAGAGCACUGUUUCGGCUAGGGGGCCAUCCCGGCUUACCAACCCGAUGCAAACUGCGAAUACCGGAGAAUGUUAUCACGGGAGACACACGGCGGGUGCUAACGUCCGUCGUGAAGAGGGAAACAACCCAGACCGCCAGCUAAGGUCCCAAAGUCAUGGUUAAGUGGGAAACGAUGUGGGAAGGCCCAGACAGCCAGGAUGUUGGCUUAGAAGCAGCCAUCAUUUAAAGAAAGCGUAAUAGCUCACUGGUCGAGUCGGCCUGCGCGGAAGAUGUAACGGGGCUAAACCAUGCACCGAAGCUGCGGCAGCGACACUCAGGUGUUGUUGGGUAGGGGAGCGUUCUGUAAGCCUGCGAAGGUGGCCUGUGAGGGUUGCUGGAGGUAUCAGAAGUGCGAAUGCUGACAUAAGUAACGAUAAAGCGGGUGAAAAGCCCGCUCGCCGGAAGACCAAGGGUUCCUGUCCAACGUUAAUCGGGGCAGGGUGAGUCGACCCCUAAGGCGAGGCCGAAAGGCGUAGUCGAUGGGAAACGGGUUAAUAUUCCCGUACUUGGUGUUACUGCGAAGGGGGGACGGAGAAGGCUAUGUUGGCCGGGCGACGGUUGUCCCGGUUUAAGCGUGUAGGCUGGUUUUCCAGGCAAAUCCGGAAAAUCAAGGCUGAGGCGUGACGACGAGGCACUACGGUGCUGAAGCAACAAAUGCCCUGCUUCCAGGAAAAGCCUCUAAGCAUCAGGUAACAUCAAAUCGUACCCCAAACCGACACAGGUGGUCAGGUAGAGAAUACCAAGGCGCUUGAGAGAACUCGGGUGAAGGAACUAGGCAAAAUGGUGCCGUAACUUCGGGAGAAGGCACGCUGACACGUAGGUGAAGUGAUUUACUCAUGGAGCUGAAGUCAGUCGAAGAUACCAGCUGGCUGCAACUGUUUAUUAAAAACACAGCACUGUGCAAACACGAAAGUGGACGUAUACGGUGUGACGCCUGCCCGGUGCCGGAAGGUUAAUUGAUGGGGUCAGCGCAAGCGAAGCUCCUGAUCGAAGCCCCGGUAAACGGCGGCCGUAACUAUAACGGUCCUAAGGUAGCGAAAUUCCUUGUCGGGUAAGUUCCGACCUGCACGAAUGGCGUAAUGAUGGCCAGGCUGUCUCCACCCGAGACUCAGUGAAAUUGAACUCGCUGUGAAGAUGCAGUGUACCCGCGGCAAGACGGAAAGACCCCGUGAACCUUUACUAUAGCUUGACACUGAACAUUGAGCCUUGAUGUGUAGGAUAGGUGGGAGGCUUUGAAGUGUGGACGCCAGUCUGCAUGGAGCCGGCCUUGAAAUACCACCCUUUAAUGUUUGAUGUUCUAACGUGGACCCGUAAUCCGGGUUGCGGACAGUGUCUGGUGGGUAGUUUGACUGGGGCGGUCUCCUCCUAAAGAGUAACGGAGGAGCACGAAGGUUGGCUAAUCCUGGUCGGACAUCAGGAGGUUAGUGCAAUGGCAUAAGCCAGCUUGACUGCGAGCGUGACGGCGCGAGCAGGUGCGAAAGCAGGUCAUAGUGAUCCGGUGGUUCUGAAUGGAAGGGCCAUCGCUCAACGGAUAAAAGGUACUCCGGGGAUAACAGGCUGAUACCGCCCAAGAGUUCAUAUCGACGGCGGUGUUUGGCACCUCGAUGUCGGCUCAUCACAUCCUGGGGCUGAAGUAGGUCCCAAGGGUAUGGCUGUUCGCCAUUUAAAGUGGUACGCGAGCUGGGUUUAGAACGUCGUGAGACAGUUCGGUCCCUAUCUGCCGUGGGCGCUGGAGAACUGAGGGGGGCUGCUCCUAGUACGAGAGGACCGGAGUGGACGCAUCACUGGUGUUCGGGUUGUCAUGCCAAUGGCACUGCCCGGUAGCUAAAUGCGGAAGAGAUAAGUGCUGAAAGCAUCUAAGCACGAAACUUGCCCCGAGAUGAGUUCUCCCUGAGACUUUAGGUCUCCUGAAGGAACGUUGAAGACGACGACGUUGAUAGGCCGGGUGUGUAAGCGCAGCGAUGCGUUGAGCUAACCGGUACUAAUGAACCGUGAGGCUUAACCUUACAACGCCGAAG